rnacentral:rRNA from 1 species
GACGAACGCUGGCGGCGUGCCUAAUACAUGCAAGUAGAACGCUGAAACUUGGUGCUUGCACCGAGCGGAUGAGUUGCGAACGGGUGAGUAACGCGUAGGUAACCUGCCUGGUAGCGGGGGAUAACUAUUGGAAACGAUAGCUAAUACCGCAUAAGAGUAGAUGUUGCAUGACAUUUGCUUAAAAGGUGCAAUUGCACCACUACCAGAUGGACCUGCGUUGUACUAGCUAGUUGGUGGGGUAACGGCUCACCAAGGCGACGAUACAUAGCCGACCUGAGAGGGUGAUCGGCCACACUGGGACUGAGACACGGCCCAGACUCCUACGGGAGGCAGCAGUAGGGAAUCUUCGGCAAUGGACGGAAGUCUGACCGAGCAACGCCGCGUGAGUGAAGAAGGUUUUCGGAUCGUAAAGCUCUGUUGUAAGAGAAGAACGAGUGUGAGAGUGGAAAGUUCACACUGUGACGGUAUCUUACCAGAAAGGGACGGCUAACUACGUG